GUCCUGCCGGAUGCUGGCAGGCCAGGGCCUAGGGGACGUUCUAAAAGCACGUUUUUAGACAGGUCGCGGCAUAAAUACCUGUGGAGUUACCCGUUUCUUCACUUCUGUGGCAGUACAAUAAGCACCCUCCUGAUUACGGCCCUACAAAGGAUAUACAAAACAGCUGGUUUUUGUAAGUACAUACCCACAGUUUAUAAGCCCACGGAAGCAGCUGAUUGACCUAAGCACUGGCUGCUGAAAAUCAUUGCAAGUAAAAAUGAUGUUGAGGUCAUCAAACUCCCAUUUAAAAGGUACCCUCCAUAUACCAGGAGAAAAGAA